CAUAUCACGCUGAAACACCAGCUCUCGUACAAUCAGCGAAGUUAAGCAACGUCGAGUCUGAUCAGUACAUAAAUGGAUGACCGCUUGGGAAUACCAGGUGCUGUAAG